AUUGAACGCUGGCGGCAGGCCUAACACAUGCAAGUCGAGCGGAGCGGCGGACGGGUGCGUAAUGCCUAGGAAUCUGCCUGGUAGUGGGGGAUGACGUCCGGAAACGGGCGCUAAUACCGCAUCCUCUCAGAUGAGCCUAGGUCGGAUUAGCUCGUUGGGGGGGUAAAGGCCUACAAAGGCGACGACCCGUAACUGGGCUGAGAGUAUGAUCAUUCACACUGGAACGGAGACACGGUCCAGACUCCUACGGGAGGCAGCAGUGGGGAAUAUUUGACAAUGGGCGAAAGCCUGAUCCAGCCAUGCCGCGUGUAUGAAGAAGGCCUUCGGGUUGUAAAGUACUUUCAGCGGGGAGGCGUUACCCGCAGAAGAAGCACCGGCUAAAGACGUGCCAGCAGCCGCGGUAAUAC
rnacentral:rRNA from 1 species